rnacentral:snRNA from 1 species
AUAGUUACCUGGUAGGGGAGAUACCAUGAUCACAAAGGUGGUUUUUUUCCUGAGUGAGUCUUAUUCACUGGACUCUGACGUGCUGACCUGCGAUUUCCCCAAAUGUGAGAAACUCCACUUCAUCAUUUGUGCAUGUUCCAUUGUCCCACUGAAC